GCUCCAGUGGCCUAGUGGUUAGAGCGUCCGUCUCAAAUACGGGAAGUCGUGGGUUCGAUCCCCGGUCGAGUCA